GCCAGGUGUGGUGGCGUGCACCUAUAGUCCCAGUUACUUGGGAGGCUGAGGUGGGAGGAUCACUUGAGCCCAGGAGGUUGAGGCUGCAAUAAUCUAUGACUGUGCCACUGCACUCCGGCCUGGGCAAAAGAGUGAGACCCUGUCUCUU
rnacentral:SRP_RNA from 1 species